rnacentral:lncRNA from 1 species
CCAUUCUAAUUAGGUCACAGCUGCUUCUCCGGUUCUCUCUAUUCUCUGUAAACCUAAGCAUCCUUUCUUCAUCAAAGGACCUGAAGCAUUCUCUGUGAUCUAAGCAUAUAUCGGUGAAAAGCUCUAGUUGGCAGCAAAUCAUUCGUGACUUUGAUAUGUCAUUCCGACCUGACAUUAGCAGCUGCUACCGACCAAAUACUCGGCAUCGUCGAUACUUUAAGCGCCGACGACUAAAGGAUAAACAACCACCACUUCGCCUGCUACUCAAUUCUCCAAAUCCAACACAAGCUUGGGAUUUCGGUAAGUCAAUCUCUCUUUCUCUCUCUCCUUUCCCUGAUUUCGGGUUCUGCCACUGUCACCUAAAGCUUGAGUCUGCCUCACUCCAAUUCUUCAAGAAUUUAUAGGUCAAGAAUUGAGUUUGUUAAUUCCUAGGUAGCCUAUCUUUAUACUAUGUGUUCGAUGAAUUUAUCGAAAAAUAUUGAUUUUUAUUGAACUUCUAGAUUUUGCUGCUUUUUAAAGUUUGAGUUUGGUUUGUAUUUUCAUAUGGUUGGACUAUGUCCGUCCAUUCAAAAUUUUCAUUUUACAAAAUGACAUUGGAUCAGAUAUUUGAUUUUGAUAAUUUAUUUGCAAGAAGAAACACUACAACAUUCAAAUGGAUUAGCAAGUACAGAGGCAACAACAAACCCGCUGAUAUAUUUGUCCACUUUAUUGUUAUUCAGUUUGGUGAACUUAUCAUCUAAAUGUCUUGUUCCUGGAGAGAUUUUGGUCGUGUGAAUGAUGAGAAGACACGCAAAACCUAGAAUGCAGCCGAAGAGUUAAACAUUUUUUUACAAAUAGGAGAGAAGGCAAAAAUUAUAUUGUUAGACCUGUCGUAGUUUGCAUUCUGAGUUUUUCCUUUUUAAAACAUAAAAUGUAUGAAGCACAUGAUAUGGUAAGUGUUGGUUUACUAAAUAGGAAUUGAUUCUAUCACUGAUAUCAUUUUUCUUUAUCCUAUCAACCAAAUCACUCAUGUUUUUGUUCUUAGGUAGGCAAUUGUUAUAAUGGUCUAUCUUUUGUACGGCUUGAAUUCCUUAUUGUAGUUAUAAAUUUGUCAUUUUUUGGUUUUCAUUUUGUGACUUUUAAGUAGUAAGCAUAGUUAUUGUUCCUUAUUAUUUUGUAUUAGGUCUUGGAUACCAAAGUUUAUGCUGAUAUAGAGGCUGCUGAGCUAACACUUUUGGUAAGGCUAAAGGAAAAGGAUAAAGGAAGACUAGUUACUCAUUAUGAUGUAUUCAAGGGAACCCACGUGAAGAAGUUGAAGGAUGAAACAAAAAUGACUUGGGUCGAGACGCGCGAAGACAAAAUAUGUAAAUGAGCUUUAUUUUAAAUUAUCUUAUCUGUUGGUAGCUUAUUGAUGAACUUUUUAAAAUGCAAAGAGCUCCAAAAACUGUGAAAGUCUCAUUAGUUUUAAGUCCGAGGUUGUGGUGAAUGAUGAGAGUUAUAGGAAAUUUUAGUGGUUGGUUUUGCGCUUCUCUGUCUUUCUCCACUGCCAAUGAUAACUCC